CAAUAGCGUAUAUUAAAGUUGUUGCAGUUAAAAAGCUCGUAGUUGGACUUGUGGCAGUUCCUGUGGUCCAUCUUUGGUACUAUCGGGGACCGCCAUCUUUGGGUGGAUCCUGUGUGGCAUUAGGUUGUCGUGCAGGGGAUGCCCAUCAUUUACUGUGAAAAAAUUAGAGUGUUCAAAGCAGGCUUUCGCUUGAAUACAUUAGCAUGGAAUAAUAAGAUAGGACUUUGGUGCUAUUUUGUUGGUUGAGCCUAAAGUAAUGAUUAAUAGGGAUAGUUGGGGGCACCUGUAUUGCGUUGUCAGAGGUGAAAUUCUUGGAUUUACGCAAGACAAACAGCUGCGAAAGCGUCUGCCAAGGAUGUUUNCAUUA
rnacentral:rRNA from 1 species